CGUAUAUUAAAGUUGUUGCAGUUAAAAAGCUCGUAGUUGGAUUUGUGGCGUAUGGUGUGUUCCGGGCACUUGUUGUCUGAGUAACCUGCUGUUGCCAUCCUUGGGUGGAACCUGUGUGGCAUUAGGUUGUCGUGCAGGGGAUGCCCAUCAUUUACUGUGAAAAAAUUAGAGUGUUCAAAGCAGGCUUAUGCCGUUGAAUAUAUUAGCAUGGAAUAAUGAGAUAGGACUUUUUUACUAUUUUGUUGGUUUGCGUAAAGAGGUAAUGAUUAAUAGGGACAGUUUGGGG
rnacentral:rRNA from 1 species